AGCGGGCCGGGCAGCCGCGCGGAGGGCAACUCCGUGAGGAAAGUCCGGGCUUCACAGAGCAGGAUAACCGAUAACAUCGGCCGCGGGCGACCGCCGGACAAGUGCAACAGAAACAGACCGCCCCGCCUGCGCGGGGCAAGGGUGGAAAGGUGGGGUAAGAGCCCACCGGUGGACCUGGCAACAGGCCCAUCCUGUAAACUCUAUCCGAAGCAACACCGACUCGGGGGCUACGGCUUGCUCGGCCAAUCUCCGGACAGGUGGCUUGAGGCGGGCAGCAAUGUCCGUCCCAGAUAGAUGGCUGCCGACCACAGAACCCGGCUUACAGGCCCGCUGC
rnacentral:RNase_P_RNA from 1 species